UACGUAGGCAGCGAGCGUUGUUCGGAGUUACUGGGCGUAAAGGGUGUGUAGGCGGCUCCCUAAGUUUGGUGUGAAAUCUCCCGGCUCAACCGGGAGGGUGCGCCGAAAACUGGGGGGCUAGAGUGCGGGAUGGGAAAGUGGAAUUCCUGGUGUAGCGGUGAAAUGCGUAGAUAUCAGGAGGAACACCGGUGGUGUAGACGGCUUUCUGGACCGUAACUGACGCUGAGACGCGAAAGCGUGGGGAGCAAACAGG
rnacentral:rRNA from 1 species